UACGAAGGGGGCUAGCGUUGUUCGGAAUCACUGGGCGUAAAGCGUAUGCAGGCGGACCGUUAAGUCGGAGGUGAAAUCCCAAGGCUCAACCUUGGAACUGCCUUCGAUACUGGCGGCCUUCGAGUCCGGGAGAGGUGAGUGGAACUCCGAGUGUAGAGGUGAAAUUCGUAGAUAUUCGGAAGAACACCAGUGGCGAAGGCGGCUCACUGGCCCGGUACUGACGCUGAGAUACGAAAGCGUGGGGAGCAAACAGG
rnacentral:rRNA from 1 species